UACGAAGGGGGCUAGCGUUGCUCGGAAUGACUGGGCGUAAAGGGCGCGUAGGCGGUUUGCAUAGUCGGACGUGAAAUUCCAGGGCUCAACCUUGGGGCUGCGUUCGAGACGUGUAGACUUGAGUGAGGAAGAGGGUCGUGGAAUUCCCAGUGUAGAGGUGAAAUUCGUAGAUAUUGGGAAGAACACCGGUGGCGAAGGCGGCGACCUGGUCCUUUUACUGACGCUGAGGCGCGAAAGCGUGGGGAGCAAACAGG
rnacentral:rRNA from 1 species